AUUGAACGCUGGCGGCAGGCCUAACACAUGCAAGUCGAGCGGGAACUUCGGUUCUAGCGGCGGACGGGUGAGUAAUGCGUAGGAAGCUACCCGACAGAGGGGGAUACCAGUUGGAAACGACUGUUAAUACCGCAUAAUGUCUACGGACCAAAGUGUGGGACCCUCGGGCCACAUGCUGUCGGAUGCGCCUACGUGGGAUUAGCUAGUUGGUGAGGUAAUGGCUCACCAAGGCGACGAUCCCUAGCUGGUUUGAGAGGAUGAUCAGCCACACUGGAACUGGGACACGGUCCAGACUCCUACGGGAGGCAGCAGUGGGGAAUAUUGGACAAUGGGCGAAAGCCUGAUCCAGCCAUGCCGCGUGUGUGAAGAAGGCCUUCGGGUUGUAAAGCACUUUCAGUAGGGAGGAAGAGUUGAGUGUUAAUAGUACUCAGCUUUGACGUUACCUACAGAAGAAGCACCGGCUAACUCUGUGCCAGCCGCCGCCGUAACAC
rnacentral:rRNA from 1 species